GAGAGAAUCCUAAGGUGAGCGAGAGAACUCUCGUUAAGGAACUCGGCAAAAUGACCCCGUAACUUCGGGAGAAGGGGUGCUCUAUUAGGGUGCAAGCCCGAGAGAGCCGCAGUGAAUAGGCCCAGGCGACUGUUUAGCAAAAACACAGGUCUCUGCAAAACCGUAAGGUGACGUAUAGGGGCUGACGCCUGCCCGGUGCUGGAAGGUUAAGAGGAGUGCUUAGCUUCGGCGAAGGUACGAAUUGAAGCCCCAGUAAACGGCGGCCGUAACUAUAACGGUCCUAAGGUAGCGAAAUUCCUUGUCGGGUAAGUUCCGACCCGCACGAAAGGCGCAACGAUCUGGGCACUGUCUCAACGAGAGACUCGGUGAAAUUAUAGUACCUGUGAAGAUGCAGGUUACCCGCGACAGGACGGAAAGACCCCGUGGAGCUUUACUGCAACCUGAUAUGGAAUGUUUGUACCGCUUGUACAGGAUAGGUAGGAGCCGAAGAGACGUGUGCGCUAGCAUACGAGGAGGCAAUGGUGGGAUACUACCCUGGCUGUAUGACCAUUCUAACCCGCCACGCUUAGCGCGUGGGGAGACAGUGUCAGGUGGGCAGUUUGACUGGGGCGGUCGCCUCCUAAAGAGUAACGGAGGCGCCCAAAGGUUCCCUCAGAAUGGAUGGAAAUCAUUCGCAGAGUGUAAAGGCACAAGGGAGCU
rnacentral:rRNA from 1 species